UACGUAGGGCGCAAGCGUUGUCCGGAAUUAUUGGGCGUAAAGAGCUCGUAGGCGGUCUGUCGCGUCUGCUGUGAAAACUCGGGGCUUAACCCCGGGCCUGCAGUGGGUACGGACAGACUAGAGUGCGGUAGGGGAGACUGGAAGUUCCUGGUGUAGCGGUGAAAUGCGCAGAUAUCAGGAAGAACACCCGUGGCUAAGGCGGCUCUCUAGUACGGUACUGACGCUGAGACGCGAAAGCGUGGGGAGCGAACAGG
rnacentral:rRNA from 1 species